CGGNUGAGUAACGCGUGGGAAUAUGCCCUUUGNUACGGAAUAGUCCUGGGAAACUGGGGGUAAUACCGUAUGCGCCCUUCGGGGNAAAGAUUUAUCGCCAAAGGAUUAGCCCGCGUUGGAUUAGGUAGUUGGUGGGGUAAUGGCCUACCAAGCCGACGAUCCAUAGCUGGUUUGAGAGGAUGAUCAGCCACACUGGGACUGAGACACGGCCCAGACUCCUACGGGAGGCAGCAGUGGGGAAUCUUAGACAAUGGGGGCAACCCUGAUCUAGCCAUGCCGCGUGAGUGAUGAAGGCCCUAGGGUUGUAAAGCUCUUUCAGCUGGGAAGAUAAUGACGGUACCAGCAGAAGAAGCCCCGGCUAACUCCGUGCCAGCAGCCGCGGUAAUACGGAGGGGGCUAGCGUUGUUCGGAAUUACUGGGCGUAAAGCGCACGUAGGCGGACCGGAAAGUUGGGGGUGAAAAUCCCGGGGCUCAACCCCGGAACUGCCUUCAAAACUAUCGGUCUGGAGUUCGAGAGAGGUGAGUGGAAUUCCGAGUGUAGAGGUGAAAUUCGUAGAUAUUCGGAGGAACACCAGUGGCGAAGGNGGCUCACUGGCUCGAUACUGACGCUGAGGUGCGAAAGCGUGGGGAGCAAACAGGGAUNAGAUACCCUGGGAGNCCACGCCGUAAACNAUGAAAUGCCAGUCGUCGGGCCAGCAUGCUNNUNCGGGGNANCCCCCUNANGGNAUNAGGCNUUCCCNCCUGGGGGNAUCCGGUCNCNAGANUUAAAACUCNAANGGANUUGACGGGGGCCCCGCCCNAA
rnacentral:rRNA from 1 species